CCUACGGGUGGCAGCAGUGAGGAAUAUUGGUCAAUGGACGAGAGUCUGAACCAGCCAAGUAGCGUGAAGGAUGACUGCCCUAUGGGUUGUAAACCUCUUUUAUAAAGGAAUAAAACGAGGCACGUGUGCCUUUUUGCAUGUACCUUAUGAAUAAGGAUCGGCUAACUCCGUGCCAGCAGCCGCGGUAAUACGGAGGAUCCGAGCGUUAUCCGGAUUUAUUGGGUUUAAAGGGAGCGUAGAUGGGUUGUUAAGUCAGUUGUGAAAGUUUGCGGCUCAACCGUAAAAUUGCGAUUGAUACUGGCAGUCUUGAGUACAUUUGAGGUAGGCGGAAUUCGUGGUGUAGCGGUGAAAUGCUUAGAUAUCACGCAGAACCCCGAUUGCGAAGGCAGCUUACUAAGCUGUGACUGACAUUGAUGCUCGAAAGUGUGGGUAUCGAACAGGAUUAGAUACCCCUGUAGUC
rnacentral:rRNA from 1 species